GUUCCAAUCUCUCAUUUAAGUCUUACCAGAGGCUCCAAGAAUCUGUACCAUGUGCAAUAGCCACACUCUUGUAAAACCAUCAGCAUAUUGAUGAAUUAGGGGUAUGUCUAGCCCAAGCUUAUGAAGACUUCCCCUGGUGGAAUGGGUGAAUGAGGACAAAAUAUCCAAAGAACAUAAAAAUGGCAAGUGAUAAGAACAUCUUGGUGUUUUGAGGAUGACCACAUGAGCCUAAGGAAGUCAGUGAGAAAGGUCUCUAACACUGAGAAAUGGUGUUCAUUCCUGCCCAAACAGCUGGUUUUCUUCUAAAGGAAGAUAUAAAUGAAUCUUGAGAAAACAGCCUUUAUUUGCUUCAGGAAAUACUCCAGGAUUUAUUUACUAAGUCUUAGAUUGUUGUGAUCUACUUUGGUGGAGAACAUUCUCACAUUGGAAGUUCUAUACAUGAACUCACUGAUCAUUUGUGUAUUUAUGUAAGUCUAGGAAAUGACAUAGAAUUUAAUGUGUUUGCCAGAAGUUCACUUAUUUGCUAGUUCAUUUGCCAAAUGUACAGUUUGGGAUAGUCUAAA
rnacentral:lncRNA from 1 species